rnacentral:rRNA from 1 species
GACGAACGCUGGCGGCGUGCUUAACACAUGCAAGUCGAACGGAAAGGCCCUGCUUUUGUGGGGUGCUCGAUUGGCGAACGGGUGAGUAACACGUGAGUAACCUGCCCUUGACUUUGGGAUAACUUCAGGAAACUGGGGCUAAUACCGGAUAGGAGCUCCUGCUGCAUGGUGGGGGUUGGAAAGUGUCGGCGGUUGGGGAUGGUCUCGCUGCUUAUCAGCUUGUUUGUGGGGUAGUGGCUUACCAAGGCUUUGACGGGUAGGCGGCCUGAGAGGGUGACCGGGCACAUUGGGACUGAGAUACGGCACAGACUCCUACGGGAGGCAGCAGUGGGGAAUAUUGCACAAUGGGCGGAAGCCUGAUGCAGCAACGCCGCGUGCGGGAUGACGGCCUUCGGGUUGUAAACCGCUUUCGCCUGUGACGAAGCGUGAGUGACGGUAAUGGGUAAAGAAGCACCGGCUAACUACGUG